AGCGGUGAAAAAGCACAUGAAUUAGUUGAUCCUAAGAGACUGGUUAACUUCAUCUGAUAGUAUGUCUCGUGCAAACUUUAAAAGAAAAUCGGGUUAAAAUUUCUUAACCAGAACGCGGUAGUUGAUGAUAAGUUGGAGAGUCUAGAGACAUCGGCGGGAGCCUCAAGAAGAGCUCUACAAGAGGUAGGGUUUAGCAACUGGAAAAGAACCACAUGUCAUGUGGUAUUUAAUGCGACCCCGUCAAUCCUUGAAAAUUCAGAGGACCAGAUGCCAUUCCUACCUGGUCGUAUUCAUAGCCACAUCAGGUCUCCAUAGUGAGCAUCCUCU
rnacentral:lncRNA from 1 species